rnacentral:rRNA from 1 species
GAUGAACGCUGGCGGCGUGCCUAAUACAUGCAAGUCGAGCGAACGGACGAGAAGCUUGCUUCUCUGAUGUUAGCGGCGGACGGGUGAGUAACACGUGGAUAACCUACCUAUAAGACUGGGAUAACUUCGGGAAACCGGAGCUAAUACCCGAUAAUAUUUUGAACCGCAUUGUUCAAAAGUGAAAGACGGUCUUGCUGUCACUUAUAGAUGGAUCCGCGCUGCAUUAGCUAGUUGGUAAGGUAACGGCUUACCAAGGCAACGAUGCAUAGCCGACCUGAGAGGGGAAUCGGCCACACUGGAACUGAGACACGGUCCAGACUCCUACGGGAGGCAGCAUUAGGGAAUCUUCCGCAAUGGGGGAAAGCCUGACGGAGCAACGCCGCGUGAGUGAUGAAGGUCUUCGGAUCGUAAAACUCUGUUAUUAGGGAAGAACAUAUGUGUAAGUAACUGUGCACAUCUUGACGGUACCUAAUCAGAAAGCCACGGCUAACUACGUG